rnacentral:rRNA from 1 species
GCGGCGUGCUUAAACAUGCAAGUCAUGGGGGCUCCGCAAGGAGCAACCGGCGAACGGGUGCGUAACACGUGAGCAACCUGCCGCGCUCUGGGGGAUAGCCGGCCCAACGGCCGGGUAAUACCGCAUACGUUCGGUGGGAGGAGUCUCCCGCCGAAGAAACCUCCGGGGGAGCGCGAGGGGCUCGCGGCCUAUCAGCUAGUUGGCGGGGUCAUGGCCCACCAAGGCGGUGACGGGUAGCUGGUCUGAGAGGAUGGCCAGCCACAUUGGGACUGAGAGACGGCCCAGACUCCUACGGGAGGCAGCAGUGGGGAAUCUUGCGCAAUGGGCGAGAGACUGACGCAGCGACGCCGCGUGUGGGAGGACGCCCUUCGGGGUGUAAACCACUGUUGCCCGGGACGAACAACCUUUUUCGAGAGGUCUGACGGUACCGGGUGAGGAAGCACCGGCUAACUCCGUGCCAGCAGCCGCGGUAAUACGGAGGGUGCGAGCGUUGUCCGGAAUCACUGGGCGU